CCCUACGGGGUGCAGCAGGCGAGAAAACUUUGCAAUGUGCGAAAGCACGACAAGGUUAAUCCGAGUGGUUUCUGCUAAAGGAACCUUUUGUCAGUCCUAGAAACACUGAUGAAUAAGGGGUGGGCAAGUUCUGGUGUCAGCCGCCGCGGUAAAACCAGCACCUCAAGUGGUCAGGAUGAUUAUUGGGCCUAAAGCAUACGUAGCCGGCUUUGUAAGUUUUCGGUUAAAUCCAUGCGCUCAACGUAUGGGCUGCCGGAAAUACUGCAAAGCUAGGGAGUGGGAGAGGUAGACGGUACUCGGUAGGAAGGGGUAAAAUCCUUUGAUCUAUUGAUGACCACCUGUGGCGAAGGCGGUCUACCAGAACACGUCCGACGGUGAGGGAUGAAAGCUGGGGGAGCAAACCGGAUUAGAUACCCGGGUAGUCCCAGCUGUAAACUAUGCAAACUCAGUGAUGCAUUGGCUUGAUGCCAAUGCAGUGCUGCAGGGAAGCCGUUAAGUUUGCCGCCUGGGAAGUACGUACGCAAGUAUGAAACCUAAAGGAAUUGGCGGGGGAGCACCACAAGGGGUGAAGCCUGCGGUUCAAUUGGAGUCAACGCCAGAAAUCUUACCCGGAGAGACAGCAGAAUGAAGGUCAAGCUGAAGACUUUACCAGACAAGCUGAGAGGUGGUGCAUGGCC
rnacentral:rRNA from 1 species